rnacentral:lncRNA from 1 species
UUUUUUUUUUGUCAAACUGGCUCUGGCUUCCAACUCGGGUCAUCCACUCAUCCUUGACCACUUCGCAGCGUAUCCGAUCUUCCGCAGUUUUGAAUCGGACUGGAUCUCCGGACCUAACAUUUAAGAAACAGAUGGUAGGUUGUAAACUCCUCGCUAAUUAAGACAUUUUUUUAGAAAGAAUUAAGACGUUAGGUGAACCGUGCUAGAAACUUUCCAUCACAAUACAUUACCCCCCGUCUGUGGCCUUUGUGGUGCGGUGACGACACCACCCCCCAGUCCAACCACCUGACAGCGGUCGCGACGAGACGACGCGGUGAGCUCAGCUUCGGCGUCAAACUCCCCAGCACGGCAGCAUCAAACAGCGCGCGCCCUGCAGAGCUGAAGAACGGGGACUGGAGCUGGAUGGAAAGGUCGCCGCGCCGGGGCCCGCUCGCUCCCCCUCAUCGGCGCCCCACGCCCGGCAGACCAACCACCGCCCCGACCGCGACGUCCCCGCGCGCGCACCCCGGCCGCCCAAGCCCCCCGAUCCCACCACCACCCCGGGCGCCAUCCAUCCGCGCGGGCGCCACGUCGCGGUCCACCAGCGCGCGCGCGCGGAGUCGCACGGCGCGGCACGACACGAGCCUUUCUGGCUUCCUCCUCCGAACGCCCGCGACAGCGGCGGGCCGGGUGUUUUCCACUGCCGCUGACUGCGCUCGCCUUGGACGCGCGCGCGGCCACCUGCGGGUGCCGGCCUGCCGGGGCCGGGGCUGCGGUGACCUGCUGACUUGGCCAUCUCCAGUGGGCCGCGGGGCCACUCGCUGCUGCUUGGGUUUGACUGAGUUGUUCUCGUGGUCCAGGCCUCCAGGCCCCCCAUUGUGCUGGCGUCGGACGCCUCAAGCCGCACGCUUGGAAAACGUCUUGACGACGAGUCCGGGAUCCGGAUAUCCAGAGAUAUCUUGAAGCAGCUGGGCCUGCGCGGCAUCGUGCAUGAUUGAUCGCGCACUAAGGUGAUAUUUUAUUAGCGAGGUGUUUGAUGGCUCUGUUGACGUUGGCCCCACGUCGCUGAUGGCAUCUGUCAACUGUCAUUGUGGUUGAUUAGAGGGAUUGUAGGCCCAGUUGAACUUGAACUGUGGCGAGGCCUGCAAACAAACAGCUGUGCUGCUGAGUUUGCACGAACUGGACUUACUCCCUCCGUCCCAAGUUAACUGCAUUUGUACAUUCAAAAAAAUAUCCCAAAUUAAACGCCAUCAAUCCCAAUAUUCCAGCCUCCUGUCAUGCUGCCCACCAGUGUUACAGUGUACUCAUUUGUUAAAAAAGCUGAAGCAUGUGGGUCCCAUUUGCUAAAAAAAACUGAAGCACCCUAGCAGCCCAGCAAUCUUUCGUGCCCUCAAUCUUCCAGCCGCCUUGUUUCUGCUGCCUACUGUUACCUUUACCUAGGGGUAGAAUUGUAAUUUACCAUCAAUACUAAUUUGCUUCUCAAAUUCUAAAAAUGCAGUUAUAAUGGGACGGAGGGAGUACUCCUCUUGGCCCCCACGAUCAGGGUCCCCCGCAAUCCACAAGCUGUUUGCGCUGGAUGUCUGAAUAGCAGAAUAGGUAAGUUCAUAUAAAGAGGAUAUACCGAUACGAUUUAUAUGGGAAAAGAGCACUCUGCAAAUUUGAAAAGUACAAAAAUCAGGUAGUCGCUGAACUCUCGAAGCAGAUACAUACGUUAGAACAUUUUCUACUGAACCCUGUACGCAGCAAGCCAGCAACAGUCUUCUCUCAUUUCUCGAUCAUCAACUGUAAUCUUUACUUGGCCACAAGAUUGUUAGUGUUACGCCCUUCUCAGGAAGAACACACACUUCCUCCAGCCUAAAAUAUAUUCCAUUGCAGCAGCCAUCAGCACUGUGGGUGUGGGUGCCAUUCAAAAGGUUCUGAAAGUUCUACAGACAGCAACACAGGAAGAGAACUGCACCAGCAGCUUCAGUGAGUGGACUCAACUGCUCGAGAAAACUGACCAAUGAACUCUGAAAUAGUUCAGAACCUGCAAACAGCAUGAACAAGUCAAUUAAGCUGGUCCAUUUGGAACAGAUCAACUGCUUCCAGACAUUUCAGCUUCUAAUAUCUUGCUGGAAUCUGGUAGCGUCCACCGAACAGUUCUAGUAGUUUCCACAUCUCAUUCACUAUCAAAGUAUGAAUUUUAGUCAUUAUGCACCAAGUAGGAGAAGAAUUCACAGCAGAUGCUAGCUUAAACUCAUUAUUCACAAAAUAAACCGAAGAAAAUAAAGCUCCAGACACGGAUACCAUGGAGUUCACCUGCUGCUGAAUGUUUGUAUCAGCUGUUUUCUGGAGGAAGGCAGGAAGCAACCUUAGCUCGGUACUGUUAGUUUCAAGCCAGUUGGCUCUGUUAGUUUCAAGCUGAGACGCUGUCUGUUUAACCAGAAAACUGACCAAUGAACUCUGAAAUCGUUCAGAACCUGCAAACAGCAUGAACAAGUCAAUUAAGCUGGUCCAUUCGGAACAGAUCAACUGCUUCCAGACAUUUCAGCUUCUAAUAUCUUGCUGGAAUCUGGUUGCGUCCACCGAACAGUUCUAGUAGUUUCCACAUCUCAUUCACUAUCAAAGUAUGAAUUUUAGUCAUUAUGCACCAAGUAAGAGAAGAAUUCACAGCAGAUGCUAACUUAAACUCAUUAUUCACAAAAUAAACCGAAGAAAAUAAAGCUCCAGACACGGAUACCAUGGAGUUCACCUGCUGCUGAACGUUUGUAUCAGCUGUUUUCUGGAGGAAGGCAGGAAGCAACCUUAGUUCGCUACUGUUAGUUUCAAGCUGAGACGCUGUCUGUUUAACCAAUACAAACCUGGUGAGCACAUUAGUCUGCUUCAAAUCAGCACAAGGCAGGCUGCACGGAACGACUUCAAUGUUGUACCGGCAUAUGCACUUGACUUUGCACAUGUUUGCGUUUUAUGCAUUUGCCCGCGCUUGUAUUCUGUGACAGCAGGCUCCAAGUCCUCUGCAAGUACAUAAAGUGACAGAUGGCUUGACUUUAGGUGGUGCAUAUGCAAUGAAUUAACAAUGAGGGAAAAGAAUGAAGCCUCCCACUGAGCUGGUUCACUCUGGCACAUGGAGCUUCACGAAAAAAAAAUAACCUGCAAAAACCCUUGGACAUAGAGAAGCAAAAUAUAACAUGAAAAAAGAGAGAGAAAAUGCACCUGUGAGUCUGUGACAUGUAGCUGUCUUGAAAGAGUAUGGCAUUCAAUUUUUGUGUAUUUUAAACAAGCAAGUAAGACAAUUUAUGACAUGGACAGUGUAUCAAAACAUCACAUUUCCUCCACGCGUUCAUUUUAGCUUAAAUGCUAAUAGUUUCGAAGUCAUGAUUUUGCUAGGUAUAUUUCACUGUCACAAUUAAUUGAUCCCACUCAAUAUACUUUUACUUUUUUUCUUGAUGAAGUGACUUUACUAAAAUUGGCUUUUGAUUGCACUCAAUGGACUAGGUUUUUUCUCUUGAUGAAAUGCUUUUACCAAAAAUUGGUAUUUGGUGCUACAAUUCGAUGAAAUUCCAUGGGUAUACAACUAUACAUCUUAAUGAUGGUGAGCACUGCGGCAUGGUUGAAACAGAAUGAAACCAAAGAAUUUUCACUGCAUCACAUGAGCGGCCAGGAAUAUCCAUCCUUGGUAAUUACUUUACGUAACUGAUGUAUGUAGUUAUAGCAACGAAGAAUCUUAAAUACAAGUUAUAUUUACCAAUUUCUCCUCCACACAAAAAUAAAGCUGAGGCAUCCAUCCUGACAUCCCAUUUAGUUAGAUUAGCAAAACACACAAGUCAUAAUUCUAUUUACAAACAGUAUGAAGUGAGAAUUUCUACAGUACAGAUGGAUGCUUGACAACCAACAACCAACUGGAUACUCAGCAUGACAAUUCUUUCAACAAAGAAAAAAGUUUUGCUGGAGCACUUAACUUCGAUGUUUCUUUCCAAUGAUGUCAUGAUGUCUAGAGAACAGAAUACAAAUUGCCACAGUGCAAUCAAACUUUGGCAUCAUCGUUUAGAUGAAAUUUUCCUCAUGCAAAGUAAAUCACAAAUGGGGAGUCUAAAGUUUACACCCAUGCAAGCAAAAGAACUACACCCUUCGUAAACCUUGUUUUCUAAUUGAAUUUAGAUGAGAACAGCAUGAACUUGCAUGAAAAGCAAGAAUCUUUACAUUUUGGGGGGGAAUAAAUAGCACAAUUUUGAAUUCACUAAGAAAUGGUAACAAAGUUGAUAAGAAAUAUAGUGCAUGCAUGAGUUUUUGUCUGAGGUCUCCACGCUUUUUUUUUGCCACCAAUUACCCAUCCUAAUCGGUGUGAGUUGUUUGUACUAUUAGCCAUCUCCCAUUUAAUUUGGAUCAAAGAAAGUUCUCAGUUACUCCAUAUGUGAAGCUCAACAUCUACUGACCAAUAGCCAAUUCUUAUUCUAUACUCGUGUUCCACCAUCCCUAACAGAUGCACCAAAUUUACACCAAAUUUAAGAUUUUUUAAUAUUAGUGAACUACUAUUUCAUUUCAGUUUGAUCUAAUAGAAUGUUUUCAAUUAAUAAAUUGGUGAAGCUGGACGGCAGAGAACCAAUGGUCUUUUCAAUUUUACUGUAAUUCUUCCAGUUUUCGUGAGCACAACAAAAAGGAACUGAACAUACAAUAGUCUUUUGUUCACACCAAGGCCAAUAUUCCUUCUCCAACAAAUUUACAGAUGGCAUUUGUACACGAUGAAUAUACACAAUUGUAGCACAAUUACAUGUCUAACAACAUUAGAGGUAUAGCUGAUAAUGCUAUAGUGAAACGGGCACUCCUUUUAAACUGUAACAACUAGAAGAAUGUUUUGAUGAUGGAUAUUAGCACACAACCAGUAUCGCAAAACAUUUUGGAUUGCGGAAAGAAUAUUACUGAAAAGAAGUAACUAAGGAAAUCUAUGAACAAUAUUUUUCUGCACAGAUGCUUAUGCUGAAACAGAAACAUUCAUCCUUUCAAUCCAAAUUUCUUUUUUUUAAUAUUCCUUCCAAGCGAGAGCUCUACCUUUCAAGCUACUCAGUAUCAGAAGGUAUAUCCGGAACGGAGGCUGUAUGGUGCACAAGGUGCUGCAUCCCAGGUUUCAACUCCCUCUCGCAGAAGUCUUCAUACUCUUCCCUGUCCCCUGCCUUCAUCUUCACCUCCACCACCACAAGGCUUGGUGUGAGCUCAAAUACCUCGGCCCCAAUCGUCAACGGACCCUUCUCACUUUCCCUGGUGCCUUCAAGGCUCACCCGCCAAUCCUUCCGCCGAAUUGCAAAGCUCUUAACCUUUGCAAUCUCCUCCAAUUUUGUUAUAAUCGUUUGCAUGGGAUGUGCUGAGACAAACCUCACUUCGUUGCCUCGCUCCUCAAACAACCCCGACAAAUUGAAUCCUCUUGAGAAUGAUAUGAUAUCAAACGCAUUUAGACUUACUGGUCGUGUGAGAGAUCCAAGGGGCCGUCUUCUCUCCUCUGAUGACAAUGUGGCUGGACAGGAUGCUACAGACGAGUCUGAUUCCCACCCAGAGUCAUCACCUUCGUCCUCUUGCUGCGGUGGCGGUGGCGGUGGCGGAGGAGGAGGCUGACUAGGCCCCAGCUCCGGCACUUCAUUCUCAUCGUCUGCCAAGCUGUGCACCUGGUCAUCCUCGACAUAGAACCUGACUGGUCGGAACCCCUUCUGAAACCAUCGGCUCUCCAUGAUCUGAGCCACGGUAAUCCUUGUCUCUGGGUUCGUGUCAAGCAGACGAUUCAAUAGACUGGUCAGAUCCUUGGAGAACCACCUCGGGCACCGGAAUUCCCCCCUGUAUAUCUUACGGUACAUUGCCAUGAGGUUCUGAUCAUGGAAUGGAAGGUAGCCAGCCAUGAGCACGAAGAGGAUGACACCGCACGACCAUAUGUCCGCCUUGGCGCCGUCGUAGCCGCGGCGCGCGAGCACCUCCGGCGCGACGUAGGAGGGCGUGCCGCAGAAGGUGUGGAGAAGCCCAUCGGGGUGGAACUGAUCGGCGACGGCCGAGAGUCCGAAAUCGGAGACCUUGAGAUCGCCGCGCUCGUCGACGAGGAGGUUCUCGGGCUUGAGGUCGCGGUGGAAGACGCCCCGUGCGUGGCAGAAGCCGACGGCGGAGAUGAGCUGCUGGAAGUACCUUCGCGCGAUGUCCUCCUUGAGGCGGCCCUUGGCGACGCGCGCGAAGAGCUCCCCGCCGCGGACGUACUCCAUGACGAAGUAGAUCUUGGACUUGGUGGCCAUGACCUCGAAGAGGCGGACGAUGUUGGGGUGGCGCACGCGGCGGAGGAUGGCGAUCUCGCGCUUGAUGUGUGGGACGAGGCCGUGGCGGAGGGCCUUCUCCUUGUCGAGCACCUUGAUGGCGACGGUCUCGCCGGUGUCGGCGUGGCGGGCGAGGUAGACCUUGGCGAAGGUGCCGUGGCCGAGGAGCCGGCCCAGCUCGUAGCGGCCGAGCAGGAGGCCCCCGCGCUUGUGGGGCCCCGCGGAGGAGGCCGGACGCCGGGGCUGCGGCGACGGGUCCCGCGACGACGGCGGGGUGCCGGCCAUCGGGUAGCGGAGGCGGCACAGGGAGACGCGGAGAAGCGGAGGGGAACGCGGGAUUAGCCGAUUAGGUGGUGGUGGUGAGGGCACGGGGGUGCGGGCGGGCGGGCGGGCGGGAGGGAGGGGAAGGAAGGUGAUGGGUGGCCGGCAAUGGAGGGGGCCAACAGCUAACGGCUCCUGAAUAGUUUCCGUUCUCUUUUCAGUUCGCCCUUCUGUGCAGCGCUGGACGUAUGACCUGCUCUGCUGGAAGUUGGACUUCUGCGAGGAUGUGAAUUGUGAUAUACGCAACCACAGAGGUUGUAGCUGCAAGUGUGCCACAAAAGUUUUCGUAUAAAUAGAAAGGUUAUAAGUGCACUGUACAACAAGCUGGAUGACAACGUGACCCAGCCGGGAAAUAGAUGGGCUGAGUUUCCAUACACGUAACUUUUUUUUGAAAGCGUGCACGUAAAAUGAGUUGUGUGUUUUCUGAUUUUAUGCACGAGGACGGUAGUUUGAUGUGCUACCGCUUCCGGGGGGUUGAAUGCAAACACGCUGACGCUAGGGAGGUACGGUCACUGACCGCAACGUGCUACGCACCCAAUGGCCUGAGCUGGCGCCUGGCGGUGGAGCCGGCAUACGUGGAGCAUUCUGGGCGGCGCAGACGGAUGGCAGGCCGGUGCACGUCGGCAUCGCGCGGAAACCUUCCGCGGGGGCGCGGCUCCGAGUCGCGAACUGGCACCGACCGGCGACUACUGCGGACGUGUGGAGGUGGACAUCUUCUUUCCGGUGAGAGCUGACGAGGCCAGAGGGAGGGAGAGGCAUGGGCGCCGUUGCCGAACCAUCUGGUUCGUUUCGCGCUUCGGCAGUAGGUUUCUGCCGCCACCAUUGCCGGGACGCGGUGGGAACCGCGGGCCGGCGUGUCAUGGGUGGGUACGGACAAAUUCACCUUCUUUCACGUCCAAAUCCAAAUAAUUUAGGGGCGUUUGGUUCCCUUUGCUUAUUUUUAGCACGUGUCACAUCGAAUGUUUAGAUACUAAUUAGCAGUAUUAAACGUAAACUAUUUACAAAACCCAUUAUAUAGAUGGAGGCUAAACGGCGAGACGAAUCUAUUAAGCCUAAUUAAUCCAUAAUUAGCAAAUAUUUAUUGUAGCAGCACAUUGUCAAAUCAUGGACUAAUUAGACUUAAUAGAUUCAUCUCGCCGUUUAGCCUCCACUUAUAUAAUGGGUUUUGUAAAUAGUCUACAUUUAGUACUUCUAAUUAGUAUCUAAACAUUCGAUAUGACGGGUGCUAAACUUUAGGGGGAGGAACCAAACACCCCCGAUCUUACCCUCUCCAAUCUCACACAUACCCAAUAUAUAAUUAACUAUGUCCUAUAUAUAUACAUAUACAACUAAUUAAUUAUUCACCUCUCAUACCCCACCCUCACCAUUUUUAAUGGAUAUAUAAUUUUCUACUUAUAUCCCUAUAUUCGAAGUGGGUAUGGAUUUAAGGAGAGGAUAUGAACAUCCCGUGGCAGACCUACCGGCGGACGAGCUCGGCUCGGCGGCCGUCGGCGUAAUGGGGUGGCUUGGUGCCUUCGUGCAAACAUAAAAAAAAAAGCCGGCGUGUAGCGCACCAGCUAGGACCAAGCUGCCGAUUUUAUUAUUGCUGCCGGGCGGCGGGUUCAUCAUCGUCAUCAGUAUGGCCAACAAUCGUCUAAAAAGUCCAUUAAGAAAAGCGGGUGUUUGGAUCUUUAGUCCGGACUAAAAUUCAUAUCAUAUCGACUAUUUGGAGGCUAAUUAGGAGGACCAAAUAUGAGCUAAUUAUAAAACUAAUUGCACAUAUGGAGACCAAUUCCCAGAACGAAUCUAUUAAGGCUAAUUAAUCCAUCAUUGGCACAUGUUUACUGUAGCACCACAUUGUCAAAUCAUAGACUAAUUAGGCUUAAUAGAUUCAUCUCACAAAUUAACCUCCAUCUGUACAAUUAAUUUUAUAAUUAAUCUAUAUUUAAUACUCCUAAUUAGUAUAAAUAUUCGAUGUGAUAGCAAUUCAGGAACUCACGAAGAAACAAACGGAGCCUGAAAAUGCCAUCUUGGGCCAAAGUUCUGGACGAAGGGCUGAUGUGAUGGGGGGUCCAUGUGGUAAGGCCCGUUUUCUUUUGUUUUGGAUAAGGAGUAAGGCCCGGGUUGAUCUUGGGCUUCAUGUGACCCUGAAAUUGGUUGGUUGGGCUUGUGCUUCAUUCAAAUUCAAAGAAUGUGCGACUGCGAGCACGGUCCUCAGAGUUCUAAAUUACUAUUCAUUUUGACUUUUUCAAAUACAUAAAUUUUACUAUGUAUCUAGACAUAGUAUACAUAUGUAUAUAUGCAUAUCAAAAUGUAUGUAUUAGGAAAAACCAAAACGAAUAAUAAUUUGGGACAAGGGUGUAUAUAAAAUCCAACCAAUUGAUCAUCAGGUUGCUUUCUCGCUCUUCCUUCCUCAAUCUCGCACCACCAUUUCAAAAUACCACCAUGAUACCAUGACAUCUCCUUUAACUUCAACAGCCUGAAACUCAUACGUGGAAGGCAUAAAUGUAACGGGAUUUCUAAACAUCUCAUGAGUGAUUUUAUUUGCUGUUUUCGCUCAUUUUUCUCGGCUGAGAUCUUGUGCAGAUUCAUGUGGCUUUGAUCGAAGAGUUGUUUUGUUGGGUGCCUUUUAGACUUUUUAUUAUUUUAUGUCAGCCUAUUAACGAAGUAUGUGUCUUCUCUCCUGUGGUCGCCCUCACCACCGUGUUUGUUGUGGCAGGCAUCCGACAUCCGCCCCAGGGACUUUGCCGACAUUGAGGCCCUCUCGUCGAGGCGGUUCAACGCUACGGUAAAUCAAAUGUUGUCGGUGUUUUAUACCCGGCAACCUACCAAGAAGUAUCCUGAGGUAGUAGAUUUGUUGGUGGGGGAUCGCUGGACCUGGAACUUGAUAGUAAAAGUGAGCACACAAGAUACAGAUUUAUACAGGUUCGGGCUACCAGAGUAGCGUAAUACUUUACGUCCUGUUUGGGGUGUUGUAUAUUGCGCCAUGCGCGUGGGUGUUGUUUGGUAUUGAGAAUUUGGUCCUCUGUUGUGGUUCCGCCGAUCUAAGUACCUCGGCCCUCUUUUAUAUACUUCAGGGGGUGGGAUUACUAGUCGGUUACCAGGUAGGAGUCCUAUUAGGAUUACAUUGUAUGAGUCCUAAUAGGAUUAUAGGGUAAUCCUAGUAGGAGUCUGUCUUCUUCCUUCGUUACGGGUACUUGGGAUUUAUCCCCGACAAGACCCCAAGCACUUCAUAGUCGAGUGCAGCAAUCCUUGAUUACUUUUUAGAUUCUCGCCGAGUAGUUCUAAUGCUCUUCGAGUACUUUGUCUGGCUGAAUCUUCAAAGUGCUUCGAGGAUGUCACGAGGCUAGUGUGCUCAAGCCCUUAAUCGUCUUGAUUUUGUAAUCUUCAUCUUUGGAAUGUGAUAUAGGGGGCAACGAAAGUCGCACUCCAUAUGGAGUAGCCCCCGAGCCUUAGGUUGAAUCGAAGAAUCGGGUUGAGAGUCAAAUAAGAUCUUGAAUCUUCUUCUUUCAUCUUAAAAAAAUUAACUGUUGGGUGUAGCUACUCAGCUCUCGAGCCUUGGAAUGAUUAAAUAAUCAAUCCAAGGAUCUUUAGUCUUCACAAUCAUCUUUCGAGUAGCCAUUUGGCGUCCAGCCCUUGAGCUUAUGCGCUGGGUGAGCAGUAGGAGCCAUGUUGAGUAGUUAUUGGCGCCCGGCCUCCGAGCAUGGGAGCUAGUGGAGCUACCGGAGGUAUUUCGAGUAGUAAUUGGUGCUUAACCCCCGAGUUUGGAAGCUAGCUAAGCCAUUGGAGGUACGCUGAGCAUCCUGGAGAGUUGCCGCUGAAGCUUGACCUGAAAAAAAGAGAGAUGCAUACAUUAUGUAGCAUAUUUAAAGAAUUUUGAAGAUACUACCGAAAUUUAUUCGGUGAUGAAAGUAAAUGUUGUGUGUCAUGCUCUUGUUUCGACCAUAUUUCUCCCAAGUAGUUAGCCUGUUACGUUUAGACUCUCAGUCCUUGUUUAGCUAUUGCCACUGUGUGUAGAUUUUUGUCUCGGGUAUGCGUACUGGCACUGCUGCUACGCAUCUGAGAUCUUUGUGUCGUGUAAGCGUCCUAGCAUUUAGGCAUGAUAGAAAAUCCGAAACUUUCACGCAUUAAGGCGUGUUUUGCUCGAGGAGAUUAGUGACCCCUAAGAGAAGACAACAAAAAUAAGUAGCCGACAUUGCGAAAAAAAGAGCGCGAUUCUGCGUAAAGUAGUCAUUGAGACUUUUCUACCUUUUGGCAAGGAGAGCGCGUCUUGCCGUGCAUAGGAUUUGUGCCUCCUUAGGAUGUAGCCGCUGCGAGCUUCCAGCACUCAGUGCACCAAACCUGUGGCCGUAGCCUCCAAAAUUCAAUGUACCAAGCUUGUUGGCAGAGCUUCUGGAAUUCAGUGCACAAAACCUGUGGCUAUAGCCUCCGUAAUUUAGUGUACUAAACCCAUGGCUGUCGGUUAACAUACCCUAGAAAUAAUGGACAAAGUGUAUCUCUGGAGGGUAAUUUCCGUCGAGAGACGUACACAAGAAUAUACUUGGCUUGUUGCCCUGCAUGCUGAAAACAAGCUGGAAAAAUUAUAUAAAAUAAUUAAAAAGUGACUUAGCUUGAUUCGUGUACGAUUGUCGACGAAGUUGCGGCGGGUUGUUGAUGAAGAUAACUAGUCGGAGUCAAUUCCGACUAGUUGUUGAUCACGUGCAACCCGCCCUUGACUAGUUUGUAGUCGAGAUGAGAAGUUUUAGGUAGUCGCUACUGUGUCGCCGAGCAUUCUAGUGAAGCUAGCACAAUCAUGCAUGCUGAAAUCACAUGUGCAUUUCUUGAGUACGUGUAGUGAAGAGCAACAGAUCUCCUGGUAGCCUUCUUAGUACGUGUACUGAAACUCAAAAAGUAGCCUUGCAUAGAGAGUACUCGAGCUGACAGUUUCCUCGAUCCGUGCAUGAGCAGUAGAUGGAAUAUUGAUUGGCCUUUCAUCGUUUCAGUAUAGGAUUCGGCAACUGGAGGCAAUUAGCUUAAGAUGCAUCGUUGGUGACUUCGACUCGGAGACGGAAAAAUAAUUCCACCAGUAUUUUUCCUUCUCACGGGCGUGGAGCGGUAGCGGAUCAUCAGCCUUGAGCAACGCACGGAGCCACGGAGUAUGAUCAGCUAUAGUAGUGCGACUAGUGCUGCAGCUUUUUGCAUGUAGACGAGCCGACAACCGAUUGAUCUCCUGCAAACUUCUCGUAUCCGCUUCGAAUUGGAACUCAGCGACUUGCUUAUCGUCGAGUAGAUUGAUUUUGAAGAUGAGGUACUUCAAGCUCGCACGACGAUCACCCCUACCUGGCACACUAGGCAACCUAUCGAGGGGUAUCCCAAGUAAUAGAUUUGUUGGUGGGGGAUCACCGGACCUGACACUUGAUGGUAAAAGUGAGGACACAAGAUACAGAUGUAUACAGGUUCGGGCUGCUAGAGUAGUGUAAUACCCUUUGUCCUAUUUGGGGUGUUGUACAUUGCGCCCUGCGCUUGGGUGUUGUUUGAUAUUGAGGAUUUGGUCAUCUAUUGUGCUUCUGCCGAUCUAGGUACCCAUGCCCUCCUUUAUAUACUCCAGGGGUGGGAUUACUAGUCGGUUACAAGGUAGGAGUCCUAGUAGGAUUACAUGGUAGGAGUAUUAAUAGGAUUACAGGGAAAUUCUAGUAGGAGUCCGUCUUCUUCUUUCCUUGCGAGUACUGGGGAUCUAUCCCCGACAAACGCGGCAAAGAAUGGCCACGCGAGGACGGUGGCAUGCUGUUGCGGUCAGUGACGGAUCUUAGGGGGGCUUUGGGGUCCCCUACUACCUAGGAUCCCAUGGAUCCCCCGGUAGGGGGGCUCGAGCCCCCACCCCCCUUAGAUGCGUCAUUGGGCAUCAUAGUAGGUGAAGCGUGGCGAAACAUGGCUGGUAUCAAGCACCCUCAAUGUCGCUAUUAUCACAGCACACCCAUACCAGUUUCACAUAUUGAGGUAAUAAAAAUCUCCAUAUCAUAAUUGGAGAAUAGAAGAGGUACGCUGCCAGGCUCGUACAUUAUGUGGCGCAAAGCAGCGCGAUCGUGCCGGGUCACCAAUUUUGAGGGGUCACCCUAAGCAACAAUUAGCAUAAUAAAGCAUGUUUCCAAUCUUUUCUACAUCAAGUCCAAUAGCUCGCAGCUCAGGCGAUCAAAUCAAGCAUUUGCGGAAAAAGAGUCUGCAGUCAUGAUACCUCAUCUUCCAUCUACAACUACGGCACGAGGCUGACGUGGACACAGGUGCAAUCGGCAUUUAGCAAAAUUGCGACCUAGUGCGAGUCCACGAGGCAUCAGUGGUUAUCAUAAGUAUAUUAUGAAGUAUAAUGCAUUUUUCUUAUUUGCAUGUUGGAAAUAUAUAGGGCAACCAGUUUAUUUUUUGCAUAGGGUCUCAAAAACUUAGGUACGGGGCCUGCGGCCUGCCGCCUGAGGACCUAUUUGGAUGUGCUAUUGUUAAAGUUUAGUUCAUCUAAAGUUUAGCAUUUUUACCCAUUAGCAUUCUGUUUGGUGACAUGGCUAAUAGAUGGAGCUAAAGUCCAUAAAAAAUCAUUUUUACCCCUUAUAUCCUCACCUCCUUCCUUUUUCUCUCACCCUUUUUGUCUUUUCAUAAACCAUUAGCACGCAUUAGCUCCUCCACACUAGUUAAUAUUUUUACACCUUUUAAGUAGGCUAAAGUUUAACCCUAUUAUUAACCCACCAUUUAAUUGGACUAAUUCAUUAAAAGUGCUAAACUUUAACACUUCCAUCCGACCAUGGAUCCAUGCUAAAACCCUUCCUUCCUCCGGCCGCCAGAGAGCGGGAUCCACGCGACCACGCCAGAACAGAACGAAUCCACCGCACUCCCACAGCGCCUCGCAAGCGCCGAAACGAAAAGCCAGACCCGUCCAGAUUCACCCGCCUGGCACUUGGCCGCACCCCCAACCUCCGCGGCGCGGCCGGCCGCGGUCCGCGCCAGCCACGGGGGAUCCGGCUCGCCCCCCGCUCCUCACUCGUGAAAACUCGCAAAACCACCGGCCGGCUACAGAGUUACCAACCACCCUCCCCGAUCGGGCGCACUCAAAUGAUCAGCCACCUCCCCUUCCCCCACGCCCUCGCCUCCCCUCUCCGCGCCCACUGCCCCACUCCCCCACGCCUCUCGCGCCCGCCGCCCCACCCACGCGGCGCAGGUAACCGCCGCGCCGCCUCCUCGAACCCCCCGCGAUCCCAGCCUUAUCUUCCCGUCGUCCUCGACCAGCGGCGCACGAGGGUUCCCGAGUCCUGACGCGAUUUUCGGUGCCGCUCUCUGCAGGGAUAGGGGGCCUGGGCUGCGUGCAGGCCAAGGGCGCGCGCCGCAGCUGCCGCGCUAGCGUCUCCGCGUCGGCCGCCGCGCGGACGGAGAUGGACCCGUCGGAGGUGAAGAAGGGCCUGUACGUGCAGGUCGAGCCGUACGAUACCGGAUUCCUCAAGGUCUCCGACGUCCACACCAUCUACUACGAGCAGUCCGGGAACCCCCACGGCCACGUGAGCGUCUGAUUUUCCCAUCUUCUGUCUUGGAUUGAGAGAUGUUGGGGUCUUUUGUUUCCCAAUUAUCUGCCGUCCCUCCUACAAUUAGUCGCAGACUGCUCGGAACCCCGUGCACUUGUGCUUGCACUCUCGGAUGAGCUUCUCAUCCCGUCGAUUUUGGCAUUUUGCAGCCGGUGGUGUUCCUCCACGGGGGUCCCGGCGCCGGCACGUCGCCUGGCAACAGGAGGUUCUUUGACCCGGAGUUCUACAGGAUCGUUCUGUUUGACCAGGUCACCUUGGCGAUUCUCUCACUCUCACGUCGUUGUUUAUUGUUAUUGCCAGGGGAUUGUAUCUUGUUGCUUAAUUUGCUUUGCCGGUGGUUACAGAGGGGCGCAGGCAGAAGCACUCCCCAUGCUUGUUUAGAGCAGAACACUACUUGGGACUUGGUAGCUGACAUUGAGAAGCUCAGGGAACAUCUUGACAUCCCGGAAUGGCAGGCAAUUAUCUUGUCUUUUUUCACCAACUUUGGUUACUCACUCAUCUGCAGUGGAACUCAUUGUUCCCAUAUAAUGUAGGUGUUUGGUGGUUCAUGGGGAAGCACCUUGGCCCUUGCUUACAGUCAGACACACCCUGAUAAGGCAAGUAAUUUAUCGUCCAUUGCAUUUUUAUUUCAUCCUAAACUUAUGUAGCAUACAGGUGGGAAUGGAAGCUAUAUUCUGGAUCCCACUAACACUAUUUGGAUGCUCACCAGGUCACUGGCAUUGUUCUAAGAGGAAUUUUCUUGCUUAGGAAAAAGGAGCUUGAUUGGUUCUAUGAGGGCGGUGCAGCAGCCAUUUUCCCAGAUGGUUUGUAUUCUCGGUUUUGUGUCAUAGAGAAAAAAAUGCUUCGAUAAACAUUAACCAAUCAUUUUCACUGUUGCAGAAUAAUAUCGGCAACUUUUAUUAAUUAUGGCAUACCUUCUCAGUGACUAUACCAGAAGUUAAAUGACAAUACUAAAUGUCAAUGCAAUUGGUUCUAGUGUUCUCUGAAACUAUUUUACUUUCCGAUUUUAUGAAAGAAAAAACAACCUAUGUGCUCGUGCCACUUUGUUUGAGUAAAUAACUUUAGUUUCAAAUUUGCAGCAUGGGAACCAUUUAGAGAUUUUAUUCCUGAGGAGGAAAGGAAUUGUUUCAUAGCUGCAUAUAGCAAAAGGCUAACUUCAUCCGAUCCUACUGUUCAGGUAUGAUAACCCAACUCAUUUCCAUUUCAAAGUAAAAUACAUCUAUCAUACUUGUGGGGCAUGUCGUAACUUCGUAAUUUCUUACUUAUUUUGAUAAAGAGACAUUUGCCUUUUCCCCUUAGAUUGAAGCUGCUAAGCGAUGGACGAUGUGGGAGAUGAUGACUGCACAUCUUAUCCAAAAUAAUGAUAACAUUAAACGAGGGGAAGAUGACAAGUUUUCACUGGCAAGUCCUCUCACAAGCGUCUUUUUUUUUUCUUUUGGUAACACUACCAGCCUACCAAUAUUUCAGUUUCUUUUGUUUCGCCCCAACUUAGUGCAUUGAUCUUUUCAGUUCUCAUUCUAAUAUUUAGCUUUGUAUAGAGAUUGAGAGAAGAAUGAUUUUUCAGUUUUCAUUCUGAUAUUUAGCUUUGUGUAGAUAUUGAGAGAAUAAUGCCUUUAAGGCUUCUGUACUAUUUUACUUAAAUUGUUUCUGUGCUCAAUGUUACUCUGGACUUAUAAAAGAGCAAAAUAAGCAAUCAUUGUAUAGUCACAAUUUGGAAAACCUAUUUCAUAAUGCUAAUAACUUGUUGCCGGCGAUGGCUGUAGAAAUCUGCACUGAUUCUGAAUUUAAAAUUACAAAUUGCAACAUAUGUUUAUAAGGCAUGUUUUAGUUGAUGUUUCUAUGGUUUACAGGGUCGAAUAACAUGUUAUUUUAUAUUUGUUGAUACAUGGUUCAAUUUUUCAGGCAUUUGCAAGGAUUGAAAAUCACUAUUUUGUUAAUAAGGGAUUUUUACCCUCAGACUCAUACCUAUUAGACAAUGUUGACAAGAUUCGGCAUAUUAAAGCUUUUAUUGUACAGGUAUGCUUUUCAAUAAGCUUGUUCUUUACACAAUAUCCAUGUGCAUCUGCUGGUAGCUGGGUACAUAUGUGCGUAUCAGUAAUGCAUGAUAAAAUGCUACACAUUAUAUUUCACACAUCACGGCUGCACAUUGCCUUUAGCUCUUCAUCCUUGUCUACCUUCAAUUGUCAUUAAACUUCUAGCCAAUCAUGUAGUUUUUUGUUAUUGUCUAGCAUGGUUGCCAGGAUAAUUUGAAACCUCAAAUCCAUGAUAGAAACGAAAUUGGUAAAAAGCGUCAUUGUGCUCAUACCUGAUUACUUAUUAUGUUGCAGGGGCGUUAUGAUGUUUGUUGCCCUAUGAUGUCCGCUUGGGAUCUUCACAAAGCUUGGCCGGAAGCAGAAUUCAAGGUAAAUUAUGCUUGCAUCAUUCUUCCAAAAAUAUCAGAUAUGAUAUUCAUGUUGGAAACUGGGAUUAAUUGGACUGUUAAUAUUGAAGCACAAAAAUAGUUUUUCCAAGAGUUUGGUUCCUGAAUGAACCAGUGGUUAAAGUAGGUGAUUGCGAUCUUUUGAAGUCAUAAGCUUUUCUGAUAGUAUAUUGGCCACUAAACUGAAGCUGGAAGCCUGGAAGACAUGCUGUGUCUUUACUUUUUAUAGAGUGUAGUACUAAAUAUUUACUUUUGUACUUUAAAUUUGCGAUUUGCCAUAUGACUAAUCACUCCUCCAAGAUGUUUGCUAAGCAAUAUUUCUUGGCAUGAUAUAACAAUAACUUUACUUACCACUGUUUGAUACUGGCAUCUGCAUAGCCAAUAUUCAGAACCCUUGGCAAAUUAACUAGAGAUUGUUCCCCAAUCUGUACCUUACAUCUUAACAGUCCGAACCACUGGUAAAUUUGACCACUUAUAUAAUUCCUCUUACUGGAUGCAGGUGGUCCCAGAUGCAGGGCACUCAGCCAAUGAAGUAGGUAUUGCCGCCGAACUGAGGUCAGCCACAGAGAAGCUGAGGGACAUGUUGCGAAAAUGAGCCGGCGAAAGGCAUGUGCCGGCGUGCCGCCCGUCUGAUGAUCGAAUUCAGAGGCGCAGAAUAAAACCCAUGGCUGUAGCGGUUAGCAGAGCCUGAUUGUAAUGUGUUGUUAAACAAAUGUCACUGUCAAACAUACCUUAACCAAUCAGAGCAGGCUUGAUUCCCGGGUAUCUUUCAGAACUGCGUUGUUUGUUGCCCUGUUGGUUUACUGGUGUGUCGAAGGAAUUGAAAUUUCAAUGCUGGGCCAAAUCCGACGCUUCUUGCGCCUGAACGGAUUACAAACAUACGAAUCUGUAGCAAAGCAAUGCCAACAGAGCCAUGAACAUUCAUGGUGCAGAACAAACGCUCUAGCUUGCUUGUAUCUUACUAGUACUUAUACCACAUCCCUCUUGCAGAACAUUACAGCAAUCCUCGUCCAACACAAACUUCUUACAUGACACUACAGUCUGGGUAAGUCAGUCCUCGAAAAGCCUGACGCACUAAGCCUAAAAAUCAAAGCGUACAGAAGAGCUAAGUAAAAUGAAAGGAGCAUUCAUCCAAAGCUUGUCCCAUUCUAUAGCAAAUUCACUUGCCACAAGUUCACACCACAUACACAUAUGCAUCGCGGCUUCAUCUCCUUCGAGCGCCUAAGCAGCACACGUGCUUCCACACAUCAGGUUCCUGCAGAACAAGAGUCAUAACAAGAAAAACAGUUUCAACAUUUGCUACAAAAAAUUGUUUUUAAGUUUGAAGAGCAGCAGAUGAGCCAGACGCCUUCUUGAUGUCAUAGAAGCGGGUUUUUUUUUUCUGAUAAACUGGCCAGUAGACUAAACAUUCUCUCAAGUCUUCACCAUUCUGACCCUUUUUUUAAGAUUUCGGUGGUUUGAAAUCACUAUAACAGUCUACUAUCAUCAUAUUAUCCAACUAGUAAACGGUAGAAAGAUGAAGCUUACAUUAUAGAGCAUCCGCCGCGCCUACUUUUCCUCCUGGCAGGCAUUGCCUCCCUUCUCCGUGGGGGUUGAAGGACCACUUUGAUGGCGGUAUCAAAGACAGCCUUGACAUUCUAGAAUGGCCAACAUCAUUACAAAAGUCAGUAUAUUCAUCUAUUGCCAACAACCCAUAUAUGUCAACUUAAAUUAACGAAACGACAAACCAUAUUUAAACAGGACAUAACAGAUCAAAAUCAUUUCACAUGAGGCAUGACUACCUGCUGCGUUUUGGAACUGCACUCGAUGUAAGCUGCAGCACCAAUCUGCUUCCUCAGUUCUUCACCCUGCAUAACAGGAGGAAUAGAACUAUAAGAGAAACUGUAAGGUACUUCGCAUAACUAUUUGCUGGUAAGAUACAACAUUCGGCACUAUAGACGAUGAAAGAGCUAACCUGUGCUGUCGUGAUUGUUGAAGCUCCAGGAUGGUCAGCAAGGUAGGCCCUGUGGUCACGGAGAUCUGAACAAUUCAACCAAAUUCCUUGAUUAGCUAUUGGAUCUUGGAAGAACAAUCAUGACAACGAACAUGUGGCAUUAAACUUCAUUGAAUCAAGGUCACAUUCAGCAUUUCCUCACCUAACUUGGUCCCAACAAGAACAACUGGAACAUUGGGCGCAAAUCUGCGAAGCUCUGGCAUCCACUGUUUGGUCAGAAAUAGAAUGAUCAGUUCCUAAUGACCCAGCAAUAAUAACCACAUAAUCUGAAAAGCAGAAACUGCAAAGAUUCUGCUAGCUAUGCUGAUCAGUUCAUAAUGACCAAGCAAUAAUAACCACAUAAUCUGAAAAAGCAGAAACUGCAAAGAUACUGCUAGGUAUGUAGUCACAAGAAAAAAUAAAGCUCUUCUGCAGCUACUAUGUUCAGUAUCAUUAUCAUUUGUCAGAGAUUGACAUACUGAAAUCUAACAUUGAAACUUUAGGUUUUCCUGGAUCCCCUCCUACACAGGCAAUUGGCUAUAUUACAUCUGCACCACGAUUCCAGGCUUUCUUGGGUUCUCUCCCUACGAACAGGCCACCCACCAGCCACCAUACAACAAUACAAGCACUUGCCAAUCUUAUCUACAUACCUUCUUAAGAACAUUCUCAUAGCUUGCCCUGCUGAUCAGGGAGAAAGCCAGCACGAACACGUCUGCGCCCCUGUAGCUCAGUGGCCUCAGCCUGCUGUAGUCCUCUUGCCCUGAACAAAGACAACAGGCAGAGAUAUUUUUAGGAUGCCCAGCCACUGACUGUAUCAAAGUUUAGCUGUGAAAUGGUAAGCAAGCAGUACCAGCGGUGUCCCAGAGGCCCAGGUUGACGAUGUUGCCAUCCACGGAGACGUUGGCGCUGAAGUUGUCGAACACCGUGGGAAUGUAAUCCUGUCAGGAACCACGAACAGAGCGCCGUCAGUUUCAGGAACCAGAGAACUGAAUGCGCACCGCGAACUGAUGAUUCCCUCACAGGUUUUCCGCAUUCUCAAAGAGGAAAGGGACAGGAGGAGAUGGAGCAUAACACACAUGCCGAGUGAGUGCCUGCUGCCUACUCCUAUCACUAAUGCUGGAAAACAUCAAACGACCUAGGUUUGGAUUCAGAAACAAACUGAAAAAUGUGCCGCUCCUACCACUGGACAGCCAGUUUUGUACCGGAAGGUGCCCAAAAUCCCAGAGCCAGAUCGAGCAGAAAGAAUCUGACGAAGAACAAGGAGGAGGGGAUGGGCGCCGCCCGCGAAUGGAGGAGGAAAGCAGGCGUGCGCGCAUACCGUGGGGAACUUGUUGCUGGUGUAGCAGAUGAGCAUGCAGGUCUUGCCCACCGCGCCGUCGCCCACCGUGACGCACUUGAUGAACUUGGUUACGCUCAUCUCUCCCAACUCCCCCUUCUCUCUUUCCCCUGGCUCUCUUCUCCCGCACACCAGGCAGAGGCGGCGGCUACUGCUAGUAGUAGAAAGAAACAGGACAAAGAGCAAAGCAGGAGGGACAGAGACAAGAAUGCUCGCCUCGCUUGUCUUCUCCGAGAAGGCAAAGCCACUCCACUCCACUCCACUCCAAGCCAAGCCAGGCAAAGGCACCGGCCUGCCGCUUCCUUAAAGAACUCGCCGCUCGCAGCUGGCUGUGCGCGCUGCUACCGGUGGCCUUGGGAGGCGUGGGUGUAAAUGCGACGCGCAGGGCAGGGAGGGAGAGAGGGAGGGCCGGGCCGGCCGGUCAAGAUUCAAGAAGGUUGCUUGCCGCAAGAGCCCUUCUCCUGAGGCCAGCUGCGCUGACAGCUCUGCGCCUCUGCUGACGGCCUGCUGCUGCUACUGUUCCUUGCCGUGAUUACACAAAGAUUGCCCUCGUGCUCGUGUUACCUUAAUCGACGCGUCCUGCCCGGUGCUGCAGCAACGUGAUCACGAAUCGGGAGGACACAGUACGCCCCACUACGUCCAACCUUUGAGCCUGAUUAUUAUAAAACUAUUGCUACUGUAUUAAGCGAAAAAGGCAAAAUAUUCGGGCUAAGUUGGUGGAGCUCCAACAGUUCCGACUCCUCCCCGUAGCGUCAGAUGAGCCAGAGCCGGAGUAGCUAAAAAUAACUGACUCCAUCGGCUCCUCCUUGAUCAGUGAGAGAGGGAGGAAGAAGAGAGAAAAAAUAUCUCACGUGAACAGUAUUGCUACGUAAACAUCAAGAUGGCAGGGAGUCGGAACCGUUUCGAACCGCACCGAACCGGCCCUCGUACUUCAUGCGCUAUACUGCUUGUGAUGAAAAGGGUAGUACAGUAGUGCUCGUGUGCACGGAAAACAUUUGAAUUUGUUUAAGCUCAAGUUUCAACGUUCAAAUCUGGGGGAGCGUUUUAUUCCCCCCGAAAGAAAGCGAAAAGAGUCAAAAGGAGUCCGACUCUGCUUUUUCUUUGCCCUGCGCAUAUUCAAAUCGAUCACCCAGGAGGAGCGGGGAGGAGAGGAGGGGGAGGGCGAGGCGGUGGGGCCCGCACAGGCCCGGCGCACGAGGACCCUACCCCAGCACGCGGAGCGGGUCGGGGAUCCUGUCUCCUCCUCGUCGCUCGCCUCAAAGCAAGGAGAUUUCGCUAACCAAAUUAGAGUUUUAAUCGACCACUGACAGCACUGCGCUGCUGACUGACUCGUGGGGCCAGGUUGCAGGGGACCACGUGCCAGUGACGCUCCUUGACGUUUCGCUUCCCUCUCCACUUCUUCUCCAGGCCUCCUCGAGUCCUUUUCCUUUCAGCGAGGUUUUGAAGGCCAGCGAGCGAGCAGGAGCAGAGCAGCAAGCAGAGCAAGCCCAGGCAGCCGUUCGGCAACGGUUUCCGAGACGCGCGCGGAUCGGUCGUGCUUUCCUCUCGUACGCCGGAUCCUCCACGGACACUCUCCACACCUGCUCUAGCUGACUACUAGCGCCACUAGGGUAGGGUAGGAAUUGAAUGGCGGAAUACCCGUCGCGAAUUAAAGCUGACGCCCCACAGGUCACUGACGAAUGGGGACGCGGGGUGCUGGACCCACAGGCCGUCGGUAGGGUGCGCGACGAAGCGGGUUGCUCGAGGGGGUUGGAAUUGAAUGCGUAACGGCCUGGGGUGGGGUUGUUGGUGGGAGGGCCGUUGGAUGAGUCCAAACUUGCGAUCCAAAAUCACUGACGAAGUGACGAUUUUAUUAGGUGGUGGUUCCGCUGUGCAUUUAGGCCCGACUGAGAGGAGCCCGUCUUUUAUUUGGGCCGUGCCCACCCCAGCCCAGGUCGGAAGGCCCUGAAAGCAUGAACUCAGCCCAUUCUUGUCCGCCUGGUAUCUUUUCUGCAGCGUCAAGUUAGCCGGUCAAGGCCCCUGAUUCUCUGCAGCUGCUCAAAAAGUUUGAGACGCGAGGACGACGCGGCCACAGGCCACUGACGUGUGGUCCCUCGCACACAUGAGCCCCACCUGCGAGUGACCAUGCGGGUAUUCUCACCGACGCGACGCGCGCUUCCAGGCUCUAGUGUGUUUAUUUGCAGCGCUUUGCUUUCGGUUAACGCUUGUGCCUUGGUACUUUGACCUCAGCUCAAUGACAGGCCGGCCCCACCAACCAGCCAAACAAACUACUCCUAUCAUCCCAUGCUUCCUUCGCCCGCCGGCCCGGCGCGGCGCGCGCCCAAAUGCUGCUCCCUUCGCACCACCGCCGCGCUCCCCCGCGUCGCGGAGGGCGCCAGCCCCGUGGCGGCGAGGGCAGCGGCGUCGCCGACCUCUCCUCGCGUCUCGCGGGGUUCCUAUUCCUCCUCGCCCUCGUCGCGGCCGCGCUCUGCCUCUCCUCCUCGUCCUCCCGCGCGCGCUCCGGUCGCCGCCACGAGGAAGGCGGUAGCCGCGAGACCCUGCCCGGCGGCAGCGGAGCGACGCCGAGGGUGACCAUCUUCGCUGCGCCGCGGCCGCCGCCGGAGGGCUCGCCCGCGCGGCAGGAGCUGGCGGUGCGCUCCUGGCUGGCGCUCCCGGGGAACGUCAGCGUCGUGCUCCUAGGCGCUCACGCCUCCUGGCUCGUGACCGCCGGGCGGCUCGGCCGCCGGGUUACCGUCGAUGCGGCCAUCGAUUCCGCGUACGCAUUCACAACCCCCUUAACCUCAUACAUAAUCUACGUUGCUCUGCGCCAUGAACAAAUGAACUCGUGGCUGCAACACGGAACUGAUCACUGCCGUCUUCAUCCUUGGUUUAGGUUCAUGGGGACGCCAUUCUUCCACUCGAUUGUCGCGAGAGCACAAGCUGCCCCUGACUCCGACAUUUGCGUUCUUGUCGAUGCUGAGAUCAUCCUUCUUCCUGAAAUUUUCGACGCAUUGGCACAUUUCAGCAAGGUUGAUCGUGAUUGGUUCCUUGUUGCAAUGUCACGUAACAUCACCGAGUUCCAUUACCAGCUCGCUGACAAUGGAAGCCACUGGGUACGAGCAGAUGGUAAAAAUGUGAGCUUCAAGAAGGUACCUUUUCCUCCAUCUAUGAACAAUGUAACAUUCAUAGAAAAUAACCGAUUGCUGUAUACCUUGUCGUUGCUGAUCAAAUGUUCUCUGUCUCCAUUAGUUGCAGGAGAUUCCAGCUGACAAGUGGGCAUCAGAAAGCUCUGACAGGGGGCUGAUUAUGGCGUGGAACAGUCCGAGCAGUCCUUUACAUGCUGGAGUUCUGCCUUCGUUUCUGUAUGGAAGAGGAGCACACAAUUGGUGGCUGACUCAUGAGGUUCUAUCAUCUGAAAUGAGACUCGUCUUUGAUGCAAGCAGUCUGGUUCUUGGAUUGUAUCCUGAAAGUUUUAGCUCGAUGCAUGACGUGAGCUCGAGUAAGAAUGACAGGUUACCUGCUGGAUCCUGGGAGUAUAAUGUCAAUCGCCACCUUGCCGCAAUUUAUGGCUCUUAUUGCUACCGAUUACCGAGAAGACACUCUACGGUGCUGCAUAAAGUGGUAAAGCAAUCUGAAGAGUAUACGUUCAGCAAAGCUGACGAGCUGACCUUGUCAGAUUUUAUAAUCAGCAAAGAAGAAAAAGCUCAUGGAGGAGGCAGCCUAUGGAGGAAUGAAAACACUUGCUUAUCUGGACAUCUGCACAGCUCUGAUCUUCCAUAUUCUUUGAGCAUGCUACUUGAGCUUGCUGCUGAUAAGAACAGGUCUGUUGUCCUUGGUGUGGCUGGAGUAAGUUACAGGGACAUGCUCAUGACUUGGGCGUGCCGCUUGCGCUAUCUUAGAGUUACCAAUUUUAUAGUCUGCGCCUUAGACCACGAGACAUAUGAAUUCUCAGUUUUACAGGUAGUUAUUUUCAGUCACAUCCUUUCUUCUCCUUUUCUCUAUUUUUAACCUCUUUACUUUGCAAAUCACAGACCACCUCAAGCUUUCAAUCCUAAUUCUAGGGUUUGCCAGUUUUCAGAGAUCCAUUAUCACCAAAGAAUGUCAGCUUUGAUGACUGCCACUUUGGAACAAAGUGUUUUCAGCAAGUGACAAAAGUGAAGUCACGGAUUGUUCUAGAGAUAUUAAAACUGGGUUACAAUGUGCUGUUGAGUGAUGUUGAUGUUUAUUGGUUUGACAAUCCAAUGCCAUUCCUGUACUCUCUUGGUCCCGCUACAUUUGGAGCACAAUCUGAUGAAUACAAUGACACGGGUAAGUCAAGGGUCUUAUGAUUACCAUUUUUUGGUGUUUCUUCCUGUUUUGGUUCUCUUGACAAUGCACGCCUACAUCUAUCAUUGGGUCAAAUUCACUUGUAACAGGAGUUGAUUUCAUUUAGGUGGCACAAAGUUCAUCGUAAAAAAGUAAAUGACACAUGCUUUGACCAAUAAAUAUGAAUAUGGCAUAUCAAAUAAUAAAAUAAAUAUGCUAAUUCAGUUCUGUUGAUUCUCUAGAUGUUAGCUCCCUGCUAAUUUUGGCUGUGCAUUCUCAUUGCUGUUGGUUGGUUGUAGGACCAAUAAAUUUGCCACGGAGAUUGAAUUCAGGAUUCUACUUCGCUCGCUCAGACAACGCCACGGUCACUGUGAUGCAGAUGAUAGUAAAACAUGCAACUAAUUCCGGCUUAUCUGAGCAACCUAGUUUCUACGAUGUCAUGUGUGGGGAAAAUGGAACAAACCGCAUCAGUGACGACAAAUGCCUGGAGGCCAACACAAACUUGACUGUUGUUUUUCUGAACCGGGACUUAUUCCCCAAUGGAGCUUACAAGGGUCUAUGGGAGAAGCAUGAUGUACAAUCAACUUGCAAGGAGCUUGGUUGUUUCAUCUUGCACAACAACUGGAUAAAUGGGAGGAAGAAGAAGCUCCAGCGGCAGAUGUCGUCUGGGUUGUGGGACUAUGAUCCUAGCUCUAGGCUGUGCUUGCAGGAUUGGAGUGAUAGAGGUAGCUUCAGACAAAUGGGCCAUUUUUAUCCGUUUGAGGACAGUGACAGAUAAUGACUUCACAACAUGUACCCAAGACGUCUGUUUUUUUUUGGAUAAAAAUGUCUGCCAAAUCUUUAUGGCAGUAAUACAGAACGCUCAUAUGCAUGCAUAGUAUUUGCACAAACUUGAAUUCAUAUGUACUCCCUCCGUUCCAAAAUAUAGGUCGAUUUGACUUUUCUAAAUAUGUAGAUUUUGCUAUGUAUCUAGACAUAACCCUAUAUUUAGAUGCAUAGAAAAAUUUAUAUAUCUAGAAAAGCCAAAACGACCUAUAUUUUGGAAUGGAGAGAGUAGAUUUUUUGUUAGGUAGAAUGAAAUUUCUGAGUUUUUUCUUCCAGUUAGGCAGAUGAUAUUUCUGUGCUAGAAAAGGCAAGAAUUCUGGCCCUGAUUAAAUCCACCAAUAUGAAUAUACGCACUGUAAUUUAAGUUACUUAUUGCGUUUUCUACCAAUCUUCGGCAACUACAUUAAAAUCAACUUUCUGUGCUUUUCGGAGACACAGACCAGUAAAUUAACAUUUAGUACAGAGCAACAGCUUCGCUUCAUCUUUAGCUGAGCAUCUCGGGAGUUCACAUGUUCAGCAAGGAAUGGAUUGGUUCACAUAACAUGGCGGGAUUGAAAAGUGCAGAUACUAACUUGGAAUUUCCUUCACCAGGAGAUGAUUAUAGUUGCGUACCUCAAAAGGAAAUGAUUAAAAAACUACAAGCCGUUCGCAGGUCAGCAGCUCACUCGAGCAACAAAACAGACAGGAAGAACACAUAAAAUCCUUAAAUCACAUACCCACUUCAGUUAUCUAAAUGGAACUCUGGAAAUCAGAACAGGACAAUGUUGGGCUACAUCCUUAACAGUACAAGAGAUUUCUAAUUGCAAAAGGCGACAACCUAUUCCUGUUCUGUAUUGUGGAGGUAGAAGAUAUCACUUCAUCUUUGCUUCUGUAAACAGAACAUGCUUGUUCACACGGGGAUCAUACUUCCUAAAUUCAAGCUUCUCAGUGAUCCGCCGAGGAUUCUUGCGCUUCACAUAGAAGAACCCAGUACCAGCUGCAGAAACCAGCCUGAUGAAGAUUGAGGCACGCUUUGCUUUCCCCAUCAGUGAUUAUGAAUUUGCAGAAAAGGAGAC